ensembl:lncRNA
UAGGGGGCAGGGUGGGUGAUAGAAAAGCUAUGAGUACAAAAGCUAUAAGGCUUUGAGGUUAAUGGACAUUAGGAAUGAAUUAAUAUUCAUCAUGUGUGCAUUAGUAUUCAAGUAUCUUAAAUACGUUUAUGUGGCUAAAAUUCUCCUUCAGUUGAUCACUGACGGACUCUCGCUCGCUCGCCCUGUAAUGUUGCUAUGGUGACCAGUAUGCCUCUGAGCUAAUGAGUGAAUCCGAUUGGGUCAGGUGUAAUUUGCUAUGUGCAGCGUAACCAUCUGAGGAACCAACUAUAUAUAUAUUAAUGUAUUCUUUUCAUUUUAUUUCUACAGACGUUUAGAGACGGAUUUGUAUCCUCUGGGAUCCAGCUACGUCACUGACAUUGACGGUGUCCAUGAUAUAACAGUCGGCACAAAGGUACGUCCUGCCCCGUCGCUGUAUCGUUACUAUAGUAACAGCUCAUUGACAGGGACUUGUACGGAGGACGCUCCGCUAUGACGUAUUUGUCACAGUGUGAUUGUUGAUGUGAAGUUUUAUUAAAAUAAGGAGAAAUGUGUUUACCGUGUAUGGAAGGAGUCUCCAGUGUCAGCGCUUUAACAGUCAGAGGUAACGCUGUAACUAAGUUUUCCCACAUCUUCAGGACAGAGGAGUUUAUAGGAAUAAAAAGUAUGAUGAUCUUUAAUAAAACACUCAGGGAUGUGCUGUUAGGAAAAUAAUCAACCCCACAUCAUCAGACCAGCUCAGUGUUUAUUACGUAAUUAUUCUCCAGUUAUAAUCUGUAGUUUAUCAGCUUUUGCAUCAGUGUGACUGUUUAAUUCUAUUACAAUUAAAGUAAAAGCAGUGUUUAAGGUUUAUAAACUUUAAAGUGGGGGGGGGGGGGGGGGCAUUGUGCUUCUGGUUACCUUCAAAUAGGGAAAAUAAAUAAGAGCUGGAAGCCGGCGGGGUAUGGCAUUCCUCAGAGCGGCAUGGAGCUCCAGCGCUCGCUCAGAUCCGCUCUCGUCCAUUGUUCAGGAGCAGCUGUGUUUCCUUCCUCUGAGGAUCUCAGCCAUGUUUCCUGCUCCAGUGUGAGAGACCUCACAAGACAAUCACAUCACCGGCCUGAAAGACGUUUAUACGAUAUACCAUACACGUCAGUGUUUAGAUUCACGCCUUAAAAAAAACUGCAAGGAAAAACUGAGUAGUGGGUUUAUUUAAUGUCUUCUAAAAAGUCAAAUAUAAUUAAAAUAACUUUUAACUCUGAAAAGGAGGAGAAAAGACUUAAACUGAACCUAAAAUUCAACGUAUAGUGUGUAUUUAAAAAAAAAAAAAAGGUAAAAAAAAUUUUUGUAUAGACCUGUGAGUAACAGACUAAUAAUUUUAAUUCCUUCACAACCGAGGAAAACAGUAGAAAGUUUAAAUUAAAAUGAUAUUUAACACCCCCAAAAACCCACUCGCUUCCUUAUACAUGUGAUUUAUAAGUGAUUAUAUUGUAAAUGACACAAGAUUUCUCUCUCUUUAGGGUUUGCAGGUCUUUAUUCGCUUUACCUUUUAGUGUCCCCUGUUCCCAGAACUCAACUUUAAAUGACAAUAAUGAAGAAUAAUUAAUACACAGCUGAAAU